UUCCGUCCAGCUGAUGGGAGAGAGAGCUGCUUUGCCGUCUACUUUCUGCAUCCAUGACGGCAAAGAAAAAAACCCAGCGCCACACACCCCACACACCGACCCAAAAUAUCCCGCGGCCCCCCUCUCUCUCACGAUCGGAUACUCCCUGUGAGCUCAGCCACGAGCGCAUACAACCCACGAUCCCUCAUCGUUCGUCGCCCCCUCCCCUGUCGCCGCCGCUGCCGCCAUCCCCGGCCGCCGCCUCCGCCCUCCCCGGCCGCCGCGGCCGCAACAGUUGGUAGCUGUGAGCUGGCUGGGGGAUAACUCCGGUGGAGCUCCGUUCCCGCCCCAUCGCGAGCCUCCCUGCCAGUCCCCGCCUCCCUACUACUUGCUGCCGCCGCCCCCAUGGAUCGAGGCGGGUCACGCCUUCAAGGUGAGAUCGAGCAUCUGAAAUAAAUUUAUUUCCGUUGAUAGUUUGUACAAAAAUGUUUCUCUGGAUAUGCAAAUUAGUAUAUACUAGUCAUCGACCCGUGCAUGGCCGGUUUUCUAACAUUUUCUUUCUAUAUAAAUUAUGGAAAAAAUGUGCUUUCUGAUAUGAAGAACUAUACUUGAGAUGUGUGUGAAGCAUAUACGUUUAUGCACACUGAUAUUGGAAAAAUUAAGUAUGCAAAUAAUUCAAUCAAAAUCAUCAUAUAUUAAGUUUUCAGAUAACAAAGUGUCACAUUAUAUUGGACAAAGUUCAUUACAUGAAGAUCCAAUUAUCCAUGAAGACUUUCCCUAAGAAUAUGUUUGUUGGUCUCAUUUGGGAAGGAUGUAGAGCCACCAAAUACAUUGCUUAGUUUCUUAUACAUAGGUGUGACCUUUUAUGUGGGUGACCAUUUAAAAUAUGUUUAAAGAGCAUAAAAUUUGGUUAGUGGAGCAAUUUGAUCUCCAUCUCCAUAAAUAUUUGUUAUCUAUGCUGGUAUAUCUUGACUGAAAUAUGAUAAUGCUCGCUCAAAACGUAGUCGCUGCUUGGGAGAGCAAGGCGCAACUACGUAAUUAAGGUUACAUGUUGAUGUGGCUGUAAUUAGUUAGGCCAGGAUUAACGUCUACCUCUCCCUAUAGUUGAAUUUAGGGUGGGGUUGGAGAGAAUUUAGGAAGGUUACAUAAGUCGGUUAUGUUGAUUUACCUAGUUGUAGCAUUUUCACUUUCAAGUGCAAAAAAAUGCAUCAUAGUUGUUGUGGGAAUGCUUCUAUCGAGUCAAGAUAAAAUAGUGGUAUUUAGAAAUAUCAGACUAAGUAACCAUACAACAUGAUACCAAUAAUAGGAAUGAUUAUGUUCUACCUUAAUGCAACGGAAUAAACGUGGAGUAUAGUUUGCUGCUGGUUUUACUUUUCCAAUAGGGACAGGAAAAGGCCGUAUUUAGAGGUGUAGAUAGAUUGAGAUGAGCAUUUUUCCCUUUUAUUUUUCCAAUCAUGAAAUAGACUUGGAGUUGUAGAUGGAUUGAGAUAGAGAUGUGAGUUUUUUUCCAUUUUAUUAUUUCAUACGUGAAAGAGAUGUGGAGUUGUAGAUAGAUUGAGAAUGAGAUGUGAGUUAUAGUGCAGCGAACUUUUAGUCAUGUCGUAUUGCGUAUAAUUUUUUUUGUCAUUUCUAAAGCACAUUUAGUAGUUAAAGUGUAGCCAACUUUUUAUUUGACCAAAGAAAAUUUAAAUUUCAAUGGAAGCAGAUCCAAUUGAUAUCAAUGCACUGUCGACCAUGGUUAAAAUCAUGCUCCCACCAAGGAUCGGUCGCCAUAAGCUUGCACCUUUACUCCCCCACUGCCUCUGUCCAUGUUAUUAGCAUUAGGGCCUCCAUUUAGGAGAAUGAGUUCUCCAUCUCAAUAGUCAUCUCAAAAGAUAAUUUACUACCAUGUUUUUGCAUAAUAAAACGACGUGCAAAGCACGUACAGAUUACUAGUAAUACAAGUAUGUAUGUAAGCCUUUCCCUUAAAAACCAAGUUUAUUAGUAUGCUCCCUCGGACAUGAGGCUAGCCUUCCAGGUAGCAAUUUUUUUAUAUUAUGUCCUGGUAAUAAAUAAUUGAUUAUCAUACCCGAUUUAAUUAAUCUUGGCAGAUGUAGCAUAUCUGAUUGCUUAGCUCCAGCUUAUAUUAUAUUUUGUGCAUUCAAAUGGUUUUCUGUCUUAUCAACAUUUUGCAAGUAGUGGUAUGGAUGAUCGUGAGUGGAUGUACACUGGCCACCCUAGUCAGGCUGGCAUGACCUUUGAGUGGGUGGCCAAGACCAAUGAAUUCAUAGAGGCAACAUUUGCUAGUGGCAAGAGAAAAACUUGGUGUCCUUGUUUGGAGUGCAAAAACCACCGAGAACAGUCAAAGAAGACGACGUGUUUACAUCUGCAGAAGUAUGGGUUUAAGCCUGGGUAUACCCAAUGGACCUUUCAUGGCGAGACCGAACAUAGCAGAGAGGAGGUGGUGCAUCAGCGCACCAACGAUAAUGGUACCGGGAUCCAUGACAUUGUAGCUGGAUUCAAUGAUGCACGUGAUGUGGGAUCAUAGGAAGAACCAGAGGAGUCUGUGAGGGCAUUCUUAGAAAUGCUGAAUUCAUCACAACAACCUCUUCAUGACUACACAGAUCAGUGCCAGCUGGAUGCCAUCAGACAAGCAAUGUCUAUGAAGACCCAGUUCAACAUGAGCAGAGAUAACUUUAAUUCAAUGAUGACCUCUUGGGGUUGCUCUCUCCCUAAAGGUCACAAACUGCCUAAAAGUUGGUACGAAGCGAAGAAAACCCUUUGUGCACUUAAGAUGUUGUAUGAGCAGAUACACACUUGCCCAAACGGAUGUGUCUUAUUUAUGAAAGAGUAUGCAGGCGACAAGUACUGUGCCAAGUGCGACUCCUGUAGGUAUAUCGAGAGAGUCCUCAGUGUACGAAGAAGCAUACCAAAUUCCCAACAAAUGUUCUUCGGUAUCUUCCAAUACUUCCAAGAAUUUAACGGCUUUACUUGAACGAAGAUACAACUGAACAAAUGGUAUGGAACAAAUAUUGGAUAAGACGUGACAAGGAUGAUCAUGGGAGACCAUGUUGAUACAUCCAUCUUGUGCCCAAGCAUGGAAGAAUUUUGAUUGAUUACAUCCCGAGAAAGCAAAAGAGGCAAGGAAUGGACGAGUCGCCAUCAGACUUGAUGGGUUCAAUCCAUUUGGUUUUUUCUAAAAGACAUAUAGUUGUUGGCCUGUGUUUGUUGUUCCCCUCAACCUCCCCCGGGCGUCCUAAUGAAAUGCAAACACAUAUUCCUAUCGUUGAUAAUACCAGGGCCCAAGUAUCUGGGGAAGAAUAUAAAUGUGUACCUCGAUCCACUAAUAGAUGACUUGAAAGAAGCUUGGGUGAAUGGGAUACAGACAUACGACGCUGCUAGAGUGGACGAUUGGUGUUCCAAAGAGUAUAGAGUGACAAAUAAAGAUUAUAGAAAACGUCGAGUCACAAUGAAGUAUUCACCACACCAUCAAGGCAACUUAGGCCUUAAGGAGUUUGGGAAACGUUGGGUAUGUCUUUCUUCCCAUCGAUUUGUUCUUCAUAAGCUUUCGUUUGUCCUACAUGCUUUCAAUCAUAGUUGUCAAUCGUUGUGACGAAAUCUUAAUCAUGUUGCUUUGGUUGCUAGCAUCUCAGCAUAAUGUUCUAGAGCCUACACUUUUCCAGGUGUACGCUUUGGCCCAUAAGGCACCGUUCAGAUCUGCAACGCCGUAAAAUGACAGUCACACAUCAUCUGCGUACACUAGCAAGGCCGCCUACGAUCGGAUGGUCACAUUUAAAAGUAUGGCAAAAAAGAUGAAAGGGCUUGAGUAUGACGUAACAUCUGAGCCCCUUGACCACAUGUUGGUUAUGAUCACUGGAGGUGGUAGGAAACAUGGCACUGAAGCGAUUGCAGGAGGCAUGUUUCCUAAUUCCUCCCUUCGCACUCUCCCCGAGUACAAAGCUCGGUUAGGUAUCCCAAAAUCUUCUAUAUGUCAAUGCAAGACUCUAGCAGUGGUUGAGAUAGAGGUAAUCUAUACAAGUCCUCCUUUAUAUGCUUUUUUAAAAUUCUUACUUAGUGUUGAAUUUGAAGAUGCGAUUGCAAUUCUAUAUUAUGUAGUCCCAAUUGGAGGAGGAGAGGUGACUAGCAGAUGAGAGGUUGGAGGCAAGGUUGGCGGAGGAGAGGCGACUCGCGGAGGAGAAGAGGGCGGAAGAGAGGCGACUCGUGGAGGAGUAUAGGGUGGAGGAUAAGCGACAAGCAGGUGCGAGUAUGCAGCAGGCGUUGGCUGCACAAACUAGGGAAUAUUUUGAGAUGUUUCACGUUAGUUCCUUAAUACCCAAGAAGAUGUAGUAUUUUACUACUAGAACUUAACCUUCACUUUUCAAACAUAACUUGCAUGCUUAUUGUAGUCAGAAUGGUAUGCCUGCUAUGGUGAUGUCUGCCUUUACUCCGAACCAUACAAUUAGUUAACUAAUAUACUUGCAAGUGCCAUUAUUGCAUUUCUUAGUGCGAGUGUCUUGCUAACAGUGCAAUACUUCAUGCAUCAUCAAUCAGGACAUGGAUCGAAUAAGGAUGUCUAUUCACAUGCACCAGGCCCAAGUGGAAAUAACCUUGGUGGUUCUCCUUAUCUUUGAGAUCGACUAAGGUUAGUGCCUACAUAUCUCAUUUACAUAGGUCCCAAAUUUAUCAACGUAGAGACAAGUAGCUAUAUGAAUUCUAGCUUGAAUAUAAAACUUCUAAGGUAGAGACGAGUUGAGGCUAUUUACUUUCAUGAUUUAGAGACCAGUUGAAGAUAUUCCUGAUUUAGAGUAUUAAAUUUGAAUCAAACCUGGUUGGAAUUCAGCAGUCCCCUUAAAACAUAUUUGCUAGAACCAAAACAUACUCAUGAAACAAGCACGAAAAUAGCAUUUUGAUAAACAAAAAGAGACACUUGGUAUAAAAGAUGUCAUCAUAUCAGGUCCUCAACAGAAGAACUCUUAGGAUGCUAAGAUAUAGAUAUGAUACCAAAGCAAACAGAUUACAUAACCAAACACUUGUUUUCAAGAGUCAAAAACCUUAGGUCUCGUACUCUCAUCAUGUGACCAAACUCUGCACUGCAAGCAUACAUAGGGUAUAUUCAUAUUAUUAUUCAUGACACAUCUCAACUAACUGUAAGCAAAAAAGGCAAACUCAUUAUGAAAAUUAGUUCACACUUGAACAUUAAAACAUAUAACUUCUAAAUAAAUAGACAAGCGGUAUACUUCUAUGUGCCAAAAGUCACCAGUAACAAAAAUCCAGUAAAAUAUAAAAUUUCUGUGAUUCUAAAAAAUUGUAAUAUAGUUUUAGAGGCACUAGAAAUGUGACAUAUUUAUGAUUUCAAGCAUGUUAUUGUUGGCAUAUCAAUGAUUUCAAGCAUGCUAUUUUUCUUGUUGUGCCAAAAUGUGGCAUAGAUUAUUUCAUCUUGUAGGUUGCCACCUGGAUGCUCAUUGGACUACGGCAUGGACAUGAAGACACUUGUUGUAGUGGCAAAUCUUAUGUAGGAUGCUUGCUUUGUUCGUUGUGUAUCAUCUUUGUUAUGUAACUAUGCUAUAUAUGCAUCUUUGUUAUGGAACUAUGCUACAGAUAUGUGUUAUGGAACUAUGUUAUGGAUAUGUGUUAUGGAACUAUGCUAUGGAUAUGUGUUAUGGAACUAUGCUAUAUAUAUGGAUCUUCGUUCAUUGUAUAUUAUUUUGUUAUGGUUCUGUGAUAUGGAUCUUUGCUAUGGACGAGGGGAAAUAUUUUGAUAUAUAUAUAUGUUGUGGAUUUUUGUUGUGUUAUGGAACUGCUUAUAUAUAUGC
rnacentral:lncRNA from 1 species